GUGUGAUGGUGAUGAAUGGAAGGUGAAGGGAAGGAUGGUGUGAUGGGGUAUGGAUGGAAGGUGAAGGGAAGGAUUGUGUGAUGGGGUAUGGAUGGAAGGUGAAGGAAAGGAUGCGAGGAUAUUAAGGAAUAGGACGAUCGGUGAAACUUCAAUGCGAGAAUGAUUGAAGGUGGAGUGUGAGAUGUGGUGAUGGAGACUUAAAAAGGAGUUUACUGCUUACAAAUUUUUUUAAAGGUAUAUUCAUGAAACUUUUGAUUAAAAUACCAGUUUUAUUACGUUCAGCGUUCACGUAAAACGUUAAUAAAUGAGCAAUAUACUAAUUGAAAAGUCAAUGGGACUCUUUCAAAAUAGUGACACACUUUCAUGCCUCAGCACGAUCAGAGAGCGGACAUUAUACUGAUACACUUUUCGGUCGGUCCAAACUGGGCCAGAACUACCCAGAAAAUAACAAGAAGUAUAUCGCUAUUAGGACAAUAUCUCACUUAUUCCUACGAGUGUACACUAUACAUUUUCUUUCUCUAAGUUUAUUCAUUAAAUUUUAUCACUGUAUUGCCAUUGAAAACAAUAGAAGAAUAUCUGAGCAAUAAAUUUAGAGGAUAUUCUGUGCAGCAUAAUUCUGAUUUUAAAUUAAUAAUUCUGCAUAAUAACAAGUAACUUUGUCCUCUCGUACAUACAUGCUGGGCUGCCACGCCAGAGCUGAUGAAGCGUGUGCUACUUUGUUGAUAGUAAAGAAACGUUCGAGGAGCGCUGUGCACCAGGGGAGUCCAAAGCGACGUUCACGCUGGACGAGUUCAUUGAGAAGACCAUGUACACUUGAGUUUAUUUCAUAUCUUUAAAACUUAGUAAACUUAAAGUUGUAACUUGCCUUGUAACUUGAAUCAAAGACGUGAUACUUGUAAAGGUUCACCUCCGGUCACUUAAUAAAAGUUUAUGUAAUAGUGAAUAAGUAAAGAUGGUUAAGCGAAGUAAGUGUUGUUAACGAAUUAAAUACGAAUUUAAGAAAAACCCUAUCAAUCACAAAUUUAAUAUGAAAAAUGCCUCUAAUAUUCUAAAAGAGCCUUUAAAUUCUUCCAAAAAAUGCCUUUUAAAAUCUCUAAAAUUAAUUCCUUUAAAAUCUUCGAAUAUAAUGUCUUCAAAAUCUUUAAAAUCAAUAUUAUCAUCUUCAUUACAACUAUUAUUAUUGCAAUAUUUAC